AUUUCGCACAAUACUCUUCUAUCAAUUCAAUCCUUCUCUUUCUAAAUUCUAGCCAUUGUUUUCCAGAACAAAUUUUCCCCAAAAUCUUGUUUUCUCUGAAAAAAAAAAAAGGUCGUCCUUCUACCAUUAUUCGGUUUUGCCUUUAGCCUAAUUCGUAUUUUCUCGUCAUCAAUAGUGGAGAAGAAAAGUCUAGAAGUUGCAACAAUUAUUUUGGGCAUGUUCUUAUAAUUUUUCUUUUUUGUGUAUUUCUUUUUUUAUUUUCUUACUAUUUAUUUAAGGUACGUAGUUUUCCUUUGUUUGUAGAUGAAAAUCUAGCUGGGUUCGUCUUCCUUUAG
rnacentral:lncRNA from 1 species